GGGGAAUACAGGUUGUGGUAAACAAGACAUAUGGAUAUCGCCGUCGAGCGGGCAGGGUUAAGAGACCUCUCUCCCCCUGUCCGUCAGGUGGCUUGCGUGUCCAUUCUCUGUCUUCUCGGCACAAAUGUGUCCGAGGCAUCUGGAUUCCAGACGUGGGGAGUGCCCAGGUUGGGCAAGUUUUGCAGGCCCAAUUUUGUGAGUAGUGUAGGGGCCUCAGUCCCUGAGGUGAUUUUAUG